GACCUCUUAGCUAAGUGGUAUAGCGUCGCAUUCCAGUUAAGGAGUGGGUGUCGCGAAGGUCGUCCGUUCGAUCCGGGCAGAGGUCA